rnacentral:rRNA from 1 species
UUAGGCGGACGGGUGGAGUAACGACGUGGCGAACCUGCCUUACACAGGGGGAUAACACGUUAGAAAUAGGUGCUAAAACCGCAUAAGCGCACAGCUUCGCAUGAAGCGGUGUGAAAAACUCCGGUGGUGUAAGAUGGACCCGCGUCUGAUUAGCUUGUUGGCGGGGUAACGGCCCACCAAGGCGACGAUCAGUAGCCGGCCUGAGAGGGCGGACGGCCCACAUUGGGACUGAGACACGGCCCAGACUCCUACGGAAGGCAGCAG